GUCAGUUAGACUCGCAAUCAGUCAGCAGAGUCAAAGUAGUUACGGGCCAGAACUGAAUAAACAACUCUGUGUUUGUUAUUAGUGAUGUUACAACCAAUGUUGCCCACAACUUGUUUUUCAUCCGCAUCUUACUAUCUGUUGACGUUACGUUAGCUGCUCAUAGGAAUGUAGCCAGUAGCAUGUAGGCUAACGGCUAACCUUAAGGCUAACUGCUAACAUUAGUUUGAAACAGCACCAUUUGACAGCACAACCGGUCUCUAUUUCAGGUUCAGGUUCCCCCGGAGUGCCGCGGAUCAGUAGGGUGCUGAGUUAUAAAUGCAAUGGGACUGAAUGGGCUUAUAGCAACUGGUCACUUAACAGUACAAUAUUUAUGGCCAAAACCGGUGAGUGUGACGGGGUGGUAAGUCAAACUGAGGAACACACACAAAUCAUAAAAUUUUUACAAAAAAUAAUGUUUUUAUUUUGAAUAAAUAUAUUUUAUGUAGUGACACACAUAUACUCCUGAAAACAAUAAAGGUUUGAUAAAAAUAUAACAUUUAUUUGGUGAUAUUUUAGAUGUAAAUGUCAUGUUGGUCAAUCCAGACAUGUGAAAAUGGCCCUGUACUAAUAAAAACUUAUCAAGAAAUAGUAUGUUACUCUUUAAGAAUAGCAUUUUCUCAUAUAUCUUGUUAACAAGAACAAUUGAAUUACUAGCUUUAAGCUUUGGAAACACAUUUUGGCACGUUUUGUGCCUUAUGCACCUCAUCAAACAUUGCAGACGCAAAUGGCACCCGUUUGGUAGAAUGACUCGUAUAAUGUGCAUGCCAACUAAGCAUAAUGUACAUACAUUUCUAUCGCUUUAAUUUAAUAAUUAAUUUAAUAAAUUUAACAAUAUAACCAUGCUAUUUUUAUUUCCACAACACAUUCCUGCAAAUAUUUCAAAAUAAAAGCCUUAAACAUUAAGAAAUGAAGAGAUGCUGUCCACAGAAAUGCUAGAGGGCUUUUAAUUUGAGAUGGAUACAGGAAGUCUUGAGUUUAUAUGUAACAGCAUAAUGCAGUAACAAAACUUUAAAACAGGCAAACAGGAGCGGAUCAGAAGAAGAGGAGGAUUCGUACUAAAAUACAAAGAGAGGGAAUUAGAAAUAAAGGCCUAUAACUAAUAUAAGGCUGGGUAGCCUCUGCAGUUGAGGUGCUAUUUGAGGAAAUUCUGUAAUUAAUUGUUGACAUCCUUAGCUGUUGCAUAAUCUGUUUAUCACUUAAUUGACCCAUUGGACACUUUUUUCACCCCUUUAAAACAGCUAUAAAAACAGUGGGUUAUUAGAAUGGCUAAGUGGAAAAUGGAGAAUUUCGGUCGCUGACAGCUUAUUUGUCUUACAAUGUGAUGGACAUUCUCUCUCAACAGGGGCUGUAAGGAAGAACCAAGCUGCUAGCAGUGCUCCAGACAGUGAGAUCGACUCAUACGCUAUCAGAUGGUUUAACUUGGCAUCUGACCGGGGAGGUGGCCGCAAAGACCGUGCCAAGGCUAAAGAGGCAUUAACCAUGGCAUCACAACAUUCCGCCGAGCAGCAGUGGCUGACUUCAUAAAGCAAAAGAAGUGGCAUGAGGAAGUGGAAGUGACAGCAGGCAGUGGGAGAGGUCAUAUGGGUGGGGAUAUGUUUGGGAUUCAGUUAAAUUUUAAGUUUUGUUGUUUUUUUUUUUGUUUGUUUUUUUGAGGGGGUAGGGGUCACGGUUAGUUUGGUUGUGAAUAAUGUUGGUAUUGUUGUUGCUAUUAAGUUUGUUAGUUAAUUGUUUAUUCCUGCCAACCCGGUUGAGGUCAUUAUGCUGUUUUACUUUUCUCUAGUGAUCUUUGUAUUUUGAAUUUGAAUUUUAAGAUUAAAUUAAAUUGUAAAUAAAUAACAAUGUUUUAUGCUACA